UACCAGCACCCCGAGUGGUCGGGACGAUUAUUGGGCCUAAAGCCUCCGUAGCCGGUUCUACAAGUCUUCCGUUAAAUCCACCUGCUCAACAGUUGGGCUGCGGAGGAUACUAUAGAGCUAGGAGGCGGGAGAGGCAAGCGGUACUUAGUGGGUAGGGGUAAAAUCCGUUGAUCCAUUGAAGACCACCAGUGGCGAAGGCGGCUUGCCAGAACGCACUCGACGGUGAGGGAUGAAAGCUGGGGGAGCAAACCGG
rnacentral:rRNA from 1 species